rnacentral:lncRNA from 1 species
GAAAAUUUUAAAAACUAAACAAACAAACUAUAAUACGGCAAAGUACUGGCGGAACAGAGCCUACAACCAGCUAAGCAAAGAAACGGGCUUGGACCAAGAGAAACCGUAAACUUGAUGAUUUCUUUUUUGCGAAACUGUAAAUAUCAUAUAAAUGAAAAGAUUCUACAAUGUAAGAUCUUAAGUCUGAGUCACCUUGACAAAAAAAAAAAAAAAACAAGGUGAAACACAUUUUUAAGCCCAAAAUAGACUAUCUCGUCCACAUAGACAUAAGAGAUCUUAGACCAUGUUUAUCGCAAGUCCUUAAUGGGAUCCUUAGCCAAAAGAAAUGAAUUAAUUAAAUCAAAAUAAAAGGAAAAGGAGAUUAUCGAUCCUUAAUGUGGGAUUUUUGUGAUCGGUAAUAAGGGGGGUUUUAGAGGCACGUGUCAGCACAAGAGGCAAAAGUAUUUUUUUUUUCUAUUUUCUUUUCUGUUUUCCUUUUUUUCUCUCCUCACUUCAUUCUCUCAUCUCUCUUCGUUUUCUCCGUUAACGAAAAAGAAGUGGUCCGACGAUAGAUCGAAACCCACGACCGUGACUCCACCACCGAUCUUCCGUCGUGGUUCUCGUCAUUUCAUCUUCUCCGUCGCCGAUCGAAACAACCACCGAUCGAAACCACCACCAAUCGAAACCCACAACCGAUCAAAACGCAACAGCAAUGACGACGGCUAUCGCGAUCCAGACGGCGUCUCCUCCAUAUGGUCUCGUCAUCUCCGGUAGUAGAAGGAUCGAAACCCACCACCGAUCGAACGUCUUCUCUUGUUUCGUCCUCCGUCUUCUCUUGUCUUCACCGCCAGAAGAAGGAUCAAAAUCCACCAAGGAUGAAGACUGUGUCGGUCCUUACGGCGUCUCCGCUGUCUUCUCUCAGUCCCGACGAAGUCUCCUCCGUCGCUUCACGUCUUCUCCGGCAGAAGAACCCACCACGGACGACGAGUGUCUCGGUAGUCAUCAAAGCGGCGAUGCCGUCUUCUGUUUUGGCUCA